UACAGAGGAUGCAAGCGUUAUCCGGAAUGAUUGGGCGUAAAGCGUCUGUAGGUGGCGUUUUUAAGUCCGCCGAUCAAAUCCCGAGGGACGCUCAACUCUGGACAGGCGGUGGAAACUACCAAGCCUGGAGUACGGUAGGGGCAGAGGGAACUUUCCGGGUGGAGGCGGUGGAAAUCACGUAGAGAAUCGGAAAGAACACCGAACG
rnacentral:rRNA from 1 species